CUAUUGCAUUACCGGAAGGCACUUAUCGUUCUCCACAAUUCGAUUUUAUUUUAAAAUUUAUUGAUAGCCGUAUAACGUUCGACUUUAAACAAAGACAUCCUUAGGGGAAAAGCAUGUAUUGGGAGAGAGACGGGCUACAUAUAUCUAUGUAUGCCUCCAGUUGGCUUUCCAGUUGAGCUGGAAGCAGCGCUGCGACAGAGAUUAUCGAUUGUUGCAAUUUUUUAGAACCGAUUUUGCUGGCUUUGUGUCACAGUUUUGUCACAAAUACAAAUUUAUAAAGUCCAGCGAAAGGACAAAAGAACUCCAUGAACCAUGAAGGACGGAGGUUAUUUCAAAAAUUAGUCAAAACCGCGUGCGAAAAUUAUUAUUUUAUUACAGCAGAUUUUUGGCAAUGUCUUGACGGUCUACGAGGAUAUACCGGAAACAGAAAUAUUAUCCAUACGGCUCCCAUGCGGCUAUCAGCGUCGGAUCCCUUUAGUUUCGAUACAACUGUGGCGCCCAAAUUCACCUCGAAAGGCAUUCGCAUAGAUAGCAAAACCUGCAGAGGAUGGACAAGAAGUUCACCCUGAAUAUCUAAAAGCACCAGGGGAUCUAUUAAAGGGCUUUUUUGCUUCUCCCUCCCUCACCUCAAGACGAUGUUCGGCCCCGGGAACGAGAUCACAGACGAAGAUGAAGGACAAUUCAUACCAUCAGAUAAUUCUGCUCAUGUGGCCGCCCGUUCCCCUGGUAGCCUUGGCCACCAAAUGGUGGACUUUUUGAGCCUGACGAAGGAGUUCCCUUUGAAGAACAUUAUCAUUGACUUUCCCUGUUGUGACUGCACAAGACACAGAUUCUGGGGGCAAUACGAAGGCGUAGGAGAAGCAAGCCGGUGUCCAAAUUUCUUAGAUCUCUUAGGUCAGUUUUCAACAUAAAUACAUUGCGUCCCUUAAUAAUAUCCCGCGGCAUCCCUAGAAAUCUUUCCUACAGGACAUUCUUUGUUGCAUUUUCCCUAUUGCAAACACAGCCUUGAAGUAGUUUAAAACUAGAAACCCCUAAGAACUAGAUUCCCAGCCACCCUCGCAAUCAAAAGUAUUAAAAGGGGAUGUGCAACAGGGAGGCGGCAAGCCACCCUCGAAACAGACUGCGAAACGAUUCCUGGCCAAGUGCAGUCCAUUUGCAGGACACUAGGGAUUAUGGGACACCCGAUAUCGGGGGAGGGUCUGUAAGCCAUCUAAUUAGAAAGGCGUCCGCUUUUCUAUCAGUCAAACAGAAAUGAAAAGUCAUUUAACUCGGAGCGAAAAAUCCGCAUUAGCAGAGGGGGAGACGACGCGCCACUCCACUCCAGAUCCUGGGCAGGGACACCAGGACACGCUCUGCUCUCUUUCCCCUGGAGGGCGAGAAAAACAAUUUCAAUAAGGAAAUUCUUACUUUGACAAGCAGACCAUUUGGUCGCUGCUCUCUCCUGCUCUGCCGCUCUGCCGCUCUACCGCUCUCAUAAUUGCCAACUAAUGAGGCUCGGGGGCGGCCCCAAGUUUUUCAUUUCCAAUGGCUGGCAAAUGGGUGGUAAAUGGAGCGAGGAGGUGUUCCAGGGGACACUUUAAAAAACUUGCCACACUGCUGAUAAAAGCAGCAACAGCUCGGCAAAGUUCUUUCGGCAAUUAACUUGCCGCACAUUAAAUGAUAAAAAAAAAGACACACAGAAGAGAAGAGAAGAAAAUCAUGAAGAAAACUGAGGGAAAAAGUAUGUGCAGCAGGACUGUGGGUGGGCGAGGGGGAGGGGACACAGUCUCACGACACAAAGGGACGAUGAAGUUUCCACACACAAAACAAAGACGAGAGGAGAAGCCACUAAGGGUGGGGGGAGCGGGGGCGGGCGUUGUGGGGCAGUUGCAAUUUGGGUCAAGCCAAAAAGAUAAUGCGGUUCGCGGCUUCCUUCUUGUCACAGGAGAAACUUUUGUUUUGUAUCAACUUUUAUUCGGGGGCGCCUUUUUCCCUCAAUUUUCUUCACUUUUCUUCACAUUUCUUGGACAAUGAAUGCACUUUCUGUUGCCUUUUCUUGGGCUAAACAGAUUUCGGUAGAGAUUUUCUUAAUGAAAACUGAUUUUUGGGCCGAUUUUUGUUUGGGGCAAUCUCGAUUACAGGUUUAAAUUCUUAAAUUUUUGUCGUUUUUUGUUGUUAACUGAAGGAAAGUUCAUUUCAAGCCCACUUUCUUUGAU
rnacentral:misc_RNA from 1 species